UUUUGAAAGCAUUCUGCUCGCCUUAAAAGCUGAGUAGGCCCAGCUUAGGACCAGCAUAGGGACCAAGAUCCAUUUAUUUUUUUACGACUAUUUUAAUCACAUUUUAUCAUUCAAGGUGGCUAGCAAAUGCUGAGAAGUGUUUUAAGCACGAUUAAAAUAAUCAUGCUCACACAUUUUCAGAACUCCGACCCCAACCUCCACGUGGUGCUGGCUGGACUACAACUGUUGCACAAAAUGUGCAACAAUUGUAUACCAACUGGGGCGGGGGUAUUGUGUUUUUUGUUUGUUGUUUCAGAUCACCGUUUUGCUGUCGAUCAACGGAUACAUUUAUAGUUUUGCUUGCAGCAAAACAAAGUAACUUUUAUGUGCGACAUCGAACCACCAAUCCAUCUCAGAACCAUGUCCUGUCGACACUCUCACCAAGGACGGUUUUAUAUGAUGUAUGCGGCGUGCGGAGUGAGUGGCAAACGAUACUUCAUCUAAGCUGCUCAACGUUUUCUUCCUCUGCUGCGGUAUCAGAAUCGUAACAUCGUAAAUAUGG